rnacentral:rRNA from 12 species
UAGAAAGUAAGUAAGGGCAGACGGUGGAUGCCUUGGCUCUCGGAGGCGAUGAAGGACGUGAUAAGCUGCGAAAAGCUUGGGGUAGGUGCAAAUAACCAUUGAUCCCAAGAUAUCCGAAUGGGGCAACCCGGUAGUUUGAAGGACUAUCAUUCCUGUAAAGGAAAGCGAACGUGGGGAACUGAAACAUCUAAGUACCCAUAGGAGAAGAAAACAAAAGUGAUUCCGCAAGUAGUGGCGAGCGAACGCGGAACAGCCCAAACCAGUAUUGUCUAGGCAAUUCUGGGGUUGUAGGACCACGUUGUGGCAAGAAGGUUUUGAAGUGGAACGUUUUGGAAAGGACGGUCAUAGAGGGUGAUAACCCCGUACACGACUCAAAGCUAAAGCCUAGUGGUAUCCUGAGUAGCGCGGGACACGUGAAAUCCUGUGUGAAUUAGCGGGGCCCAUCCCGUAAGGCUAAAUACUCCCGAGAGACCGAUAGCGAACCAGUACCGUGAGGGAAAGGUGAAAAGAACCCCGAACAGGGGAGUGAAAUAGACCCUGAACCCGUCUGCCUACAAGCGGUCGGAGCAGCGUAAGUUGUGACGGCGUGCCUUUUGCAUAAUGAACCUACGAGUUACUUUUGUUGGCAAGGUUAAGUGUCUUAGGCACGCAGCCGAAGCGAAAGCGAGUCUUAACAGGGCGUAUAGUCAGCAGGAGUAGACGCGAAACCAAGUGAUCUACCCAUGGUCAGGUUGAAGGUUGGGUAACACCAAUUGGAGGACCGAACUCAUAAACGUUGAAAAGUUUUGGGAUGAACUGUGGGUAGGGGUGAAAGGCUAAUCAAACUUGGAGAUAGCUCGUACUCCCCGAAAUGCAUUUAGGUGCAGCCUUUGAUAUUACUAGUAUGAGGUAGAGCGACUGAUUGGAUGCGAGGGCUUCGCCGCCUAUCAAGUCCAGAUAAACUCCGAAUGCGUAUUAGUUUAGUCAAGGAGUGAGGGCAUGGGUGCUAAGGUCCAUGUCCGAGAGGAGAAUAAUCCAGACCAUCAGCUAAGGCCCCGAAAUGUCAAUUAAGUUGUUUUAACGAAGUUUGUCCGCCCAGACAGCUAGGAUGUUGGCUUGGAAGCAGCCAUUCAUUUAAAGAGUGCGUAACAGCUCACUAGUCGAGCGGACGAGCGUGGAUAAUACUCGGGCAUAAAUUGACUGCCGAAGCUAUGGACCCAUUAAUGGGUGGUAGGGGAGCAUUCCAUAAUCCGUUGAAGGUAAGAGAUAACUCUUGCUGGAGGCUAUGGAAAAGCAAAUGUAGGUAUAAGUAACGAUAAUGAAGGUGAGAAACCUUCACGCCGAAAGACUAAGGUUUCCUGAUCAACGCUAAUCGGAUCAGGGUAAGUCGGGCCCUAAGGCUAAGCCGAACGGCGAUGCCGAUGGAAGAAAGGGUUAAUAUUCCCUUACUACUUCAAUGAGCGAUGUGGGGACGGAGAAGUGAUAGUCCUGCCACCUGACGGAAUAGGUGGUUAAAGGGUGUAGGAGUUGAUGUUUGUAGGCAAAUCCGCAGACAGAUCUGAACCUGACAGUACCAGGAGUGCCUCGCACGAAUGGAAAUGGACGUAAUCAGGCUCCCUAGAAAAUCCGCUAAGCAUAUUGUUGAAGUACCCGUACCGUAAACGGACACACGUGGUCGGGUUGAGUAUACUAAGGCGCUCGAGUGAUUCACGGUUAAGGAACUAGGCAAAAUGGUCCUGUAACUUCGGGAUAAAGGACGCCAGGAGUAAUCCUGGCCGCAGAGAAUAGGCCCAGGCGACUGUUUAUCAAAAACACAUGGCUAUGCUAAUUAGAAAUAAGAUGUAUAUAGCCUGACACCUGCCCGGUGCUGGAAGGUUAAGAGGAGAUGUCAUCGUAAGAGAAGCAUUGAAUUGAAGCCCCAGUAAACGGCGGCCGUAACUAUAACGGUCCUAAGGUAGCGAAAUUCCUUGUCGGGUAAGUUCCGACCUGCACGAAUGGUGUAACGAUCUGGGCACUGUCUCAACCGUGAGCUCGGUGAAAUUGUAGUAUCGGUGAAGAUGCCGAUUACCCGCGAUGGGACGAAAAGACCCCGUGAACCUUUACUAUAGCUUUACAUUGGGUUUGGGCACUGGAUGUGUAGGAUAGGCCGGAGGCUUUGAAGCAGGUACGCCAGUAUUUGUGGAGCCAUCGUUGAAAUACGGCCCUUUCAUUGUCUGAACCCUAACUUUCGAUAGAGAGGACACUGUAUGGUGGGUAGUUUGACUGGGGUGGUCGCCUCCAAAAGUGUAACGGAGGCUUCUAAAGGUGCGCUCAGGCCGAUUGGUAACCGGUCGUAGAGUGUAAUGGCACAAGCGCGCUUGACUGGGAGACUUACAAGUCGAUCAGGUAGGAAACUAGAGCAUAGUGAUCCGGUGGUUCCGUAUGGAAGGGCCAUCGCUCAAAGGAUAAAAGGUACUCCGGGGAUAACAGGCUGAUCGCUCCCAAGAGCUCAUAUCGACGGAGCGGUUUGGCACCUCGAUGUCGGCUCGUCACAUCCUGGGGCUGGAGAAGGUCCCAAGGGUUGGGCUGUUCGCCCAUUAAAGUGGCACGCGAGCUGGGUUCAGAACGUCGUGAGACAGUUCGGUCUCUAUCUAUCGUGGGCGCAGGAGAUUUGCGAGGCUCUGACACUAGUACGAGAGGACCGUGUUGGACAGACCUCUGGUCUACCGGUUGUUCCGCCAGGAGCACCGCCGGGUAUCUAAGUCUGGAUCGGAUAAGUGCUGAAAGCAUCUAAGUACGAAGCCGGCCUCAAGAUUAGAUCUCCUUAUAAGGGUGGUUGUAGACUACGACCUUGAUAGGCUACAGGUGUAAAUGCAGUAAUGUAAUAGCCGAGUAGUACUAAUAGCCCAAAACUUUCAUAG